AUUGAACGCUGGCGGCAUGCUUUACACAUGCAAGUCGAACGGUAACAGGCCGCAAGGUGCUGACGAGUGGCGAACGGGUGAGUAAUGCAUCGGAACGUGCCCAGUCGUGGGGGAUAACGCAGCGAAAGCUGCGCUAAUACCGCAUACGAUCUCUGGAUGAAAGCGGGGGACCGAAAGGCCUCGCGCGAUUGGAGCGGCCGAUGUCAGAUUAGGUAGUUGGUGGGGUAAAGGCCCACCAAGCCAACGAUCUGUAGCUGGUCUGAGAGGACGACCAGCCACACUGGGACUGAGACACGGCCCAGACUCCUACGGGAGGCAGCAGUGGGGAAUUUUGGACAAUGGGCGCAAGCCUGAUCCAGCAAUGCCGCGUGCAGGAAGGAGGCCUUCGGGUUGUAAACUGCUUUUGUACGGAGCGAAAAGGCUCCCUCUAAUACAGGGGGCUCAUGACGGUACCGUAAGAAUAAGCACCGGCUAACUACGUGCCAGCAGCCGCGGUAAGAC
rnacentral:rRNA from 1 species